GUGGGGAAUAUUGGACAAUGGGCGAAAGCCUGAUCCAGCCAUGCCGCGUGUGUGAAGAAGGUCUUCGGAUUGUAAAGCACUUUAAGUUGGGAGGAAGGGCAGUAAGUUAAUACCUUGCUGUUUUGACGUUACCGACAGAAUAAGCACCGGCUAACUUCGUGCCAGCAGCCGCGGUAAUACGAAGGGUGCAAGCGUUAAUCGGAAUUACUGGGCGUAAAGCGCGCGUAGGUGGUUUUGUAAGUUGGAGGUGAAAUCCCCGGGCUCAACCUGGGAACUGCCUCCAAAACUGCAUGACUAGAGUACGGUAGAGGGUAGUGGAAUUUCCUGUGUAGCGGUGAAAUGCGUAGAUAUAGAAAGGAACACCAGUGGCGAAGGCGACUACCUGGACUGAUACUGACACUGAGGUGCGAAAGCGUGGGGAGCAAACAGGAUUAGAAACCCUAGUAGUCC
rnacentral:rRNA from 1 species